rnacentral:rRNA from 1 species
UCCCAGACUCCUACGGGAGGCAGCAGUGAGGAAUAUUGGUCAAUGGUCGGGAGACUGAACCAGCCAAGCCGCGUGAGGGAUGAAGGUACAGAGUAUCGUAAACCUCUUUUGUCAGGGAACAAAGGCGGGGACGUGUCCCCGGAUGAGUGUACCUGAAGAAAAAGCAUCGGCUAACUCCGUGCCAGCAGCCGCGGUAAUACGGAGGAUGCGAGCGUUAUCCGGAUUUAUUGAGUUUAAAGGGUGCGUAGGCGGAAUCCCAGGUCAGCGGUAAAAUCGGGGGGCUCAACCUCGCUCCGCCGUUGAAACUGGCGUUCUUGAGUGGGCGAGAAGUAUGCGGAAUGCGUGGUGUAGCGGUGAAAUGCAUAGAUAUCACGCAGAACUCCGAUUGCGAAGGCAGCGUGCCGUGCCGCCACUGACGCUGAGGCACGAAAGCGCGGGGAUCGAACAGGAUUAGAUACCCCAGUA